rnacentral:lncRNA from 1 species
GCAUAGUGACCCGAGCGUAACCCUCCUCGUAAAAAUCCGGUGACCACAAUACGCAUGUAUCUGUCAUUGAAAUAAACAAAUAUCUGAUUAUACAUGUUAAACACGUGCUCAAUAACCAUGCUUUUUGUGAUUUGUUUACUAUAAGAUGACAAUCGGUAAAACUCGGCUUCAAAAUACGGCAUUUAAUGAGCAGCCAUAUUUGUUAAAUCAUAACAAACAGAGAGAA